rnacentral:rRNA from 1 species
GACGAACGCGGCGGCGUGCCUAAUACAUGCAAGUCGAACGAACCGCGACUGAGUGCUUGCACUUGGUCAAGGUGAGUGGCGAACGGGUGAGUAACACGUGGGUAACCUACCUCAUAGUGGGGGAUAACAGUCGGAAACGACUGCUAAUACCGCAUAGGACAUGGAAUCACAUGAUUCUGUGAGGAAAGGUGGCGCAAGCUAUCGCUAAGAGAUGGACCCGCGGUGCAUUAGCUAGUUGGUAGGGUAACGGCCUACCAAGGCGAUGAUGCAUAGCCGACCUGAGAGGGUGAUCGGCCACAUUGGGACUGAGACACGGCCCAAACUCCUACGGGAGGCAGCAGUAGGGAAUCUUCCGCAAUGGACGCAAGUCUGACGGAGCAACGCCGCGUGAGUGAAGAAGGUCUUCGGAUCGUAAAGCUCUGUUGUUAGAGAAGAACAGCGCAUAGAGUAACUGUUAUGCGUGUGAC